CCUGACCCUAGAGGCAUUGCAAGUGGGCUGGUAUGUCAUAUGUCCGUCAGUAGGUGGCAGAGAUGAGAGAGGCUAUGUCUAUGCUCAGUGUUCUGACUUACGGACAUCUGAAUGACAUUCCUGGAAAA